rnacentral:ribozyme from 1 species
GUCGUCGAUCGUGCGCCGCAGUAUUCCGCCAAUAAUCACUUGUGUCCGUCUGCAAUGGAUCUAAUUGGCCUCGUGAACGAUCAGUUCAUCCAGUUGAAAGCGUUAUGGAAGAACAAA